GAUGAAGACGCAGCGAAAUGCGAUAAGUAGUGUGAAUUGCAGAAUUCAGUGAAUCAUCGAAUCUUUGAACGCACAUUGCGCCCUUUGGUAUUCCAAAGGGCAUGCCUGUUCGAGCGUCAUUUGUACCCUCAAGCUUUGCUUGGUGUUGGGCGUCUUGUCUCUAGCUUUGCUGGAGACUCGCCUUAAAGUAAUUGGCAGCCGGCCUACUGGUUUCGGAGCGCAGCACAAGUCGCACUCUCUAUCAGCAAAGGUCUAGCAUCCAUUAAGCCUUUUUUUCAACUUUUGACCUCGGAUCAGGUAGGGAUACCCGCUGAACUUAAGCAUAUCAAUAAGCGGAGGA
rnacentral:misc_RNA from 1 species